rnacentral:rRNA from 1 species
AUUGAACGCUGGCGGAAUGCUUUACACAUGCAAGUCGAACGGCAGCACGGGGGCAACCCUGGUGGCGAGUGGCGAACGGUGGAGUAAUACAUCGGAACGUGCCCAGUCGUGGGGCAUAACGUAGCGAAAGUUACGCAAAUACCGCAUACGAUCUACGGAUGAAAGCGGGGGACCGUAAGGCCUCGCGCGACUGGUGCGGCCGAUGUCAGAUUAGGUAGUUGGUGAGGUAAAGGCUCACCAAGCCGACGAUCUGUAGCUGGUCUGAGAGGACGACCGGCCUAACUGGGACUGAGACACGACCAAGACUCCUACGGGAGGCAGCAGUUGGGAAUUUUGGACAAUGGGCGCAAGCCUGAUCCAGCCAUUCCGCGUGCAGGACGAAGGCCUUCGGGUUGUAAACUGCUUUUGUACGGAACGAAAAGGCUCUGGUUAAUACCUGGGGCUCAUGACGAUACCGUAAGAAUUAGCACCGGCUAACUACGUGCCAGCCGCCGCAGUAA